rnacentral:sRNA from 1 species
ACAUAGGCAUUCUCUAUUUUCAAAAUGAUGACUUUUUAGGAGAUAUGCACAUAAACUGGACUCCGGCAUUAUUUGAGUUUCAAGAUUUACAUCUAAGACUAUAAUGCAUCUUGAAUUAUGUCAUACUGUAAAAGGAGGCAAUCAACAUCUCUACAAAUGAAAGCAAAUUGCAUUAUGGUCACACAAUACUGCCUUACAGUUAACGCAAUGGCAGAGGAUAUGACACAGGUGCAGGCAGUAUGAUGGAGAAACAAAACAUUUAAGUUUCUGCUCUGCGGGCGAUGGCUUGCUAAUGAGUAUUUUACAGGUGCAGAAAUGAAGCCUUGGGGAUGCUCAAUAACUUCUCCAGAUCACACAAGCAAAAGCUACAGAAGGCUCGAGGCAAUGACUGUCUGAGCUCAGCCUCCAAAAUUAACUUCCAUGUGCUUUCCACUUGUUCUCUCAAAUUCAUGCUCAAAGUAGUGUUUCAAUGGU